GCUCGGCUCCGCCCAGAGCAGGGGGCGGGCGGAUAGGCGAUUCCCUCCAAUCACAGUUCCAAAAGGAGGGGGCUGACAACAUAUCCUCCAAUCACAGCUUGAAGCGAGAUUGAUGUGUCUUUUCACCAAUCACCGCCAAGGCGCGAGGGGGUUGUCGGGAUGGGGGCGGGAGCCAACAUGGAGCCCUCAGUGGGAUGAGGGUGAAACUGCUAUUGCCGGCGGCUCCUGUUUUACCGCGUCAGCAUGCUGGUGCAUUUAUUUCGGGUCGGGAUUCGGGGUGGCCCAUUCCCAGGCAGGCUGCUACCGCCCCUCCGCUUCCAGACAUUCUCAGCUGUCAGGUACUCUGAUGGCUACUGCAGCUCCUCCCUCCUCCGGGCCGUGGCCCACCUGCGGUCCCAGCUCUGGGCCCACCUCCCUCGAGCCCCCCUAGCUCCCAGAUGGAGCCCCUCUGCCUGGUGCUGGGUUGGGGGAGCCCUGCUAGGCCCCAUGGUACUGAGUAAGCGUCCCCACCUCUGCCUUGUGGCCCUGUGUGAGGCAGAAGAGGCCCCUCCUGCCAGCUCCACACCCCAUGUCGUGGGGUCUCGCUUUAACUGGAAGCUCUUCUGGCAGUUUCUGCACCCCCACCUGCUGGUCCUGGGGGUAGCCGUCGUGCUGGCCUUGGGUGCGGCACUCGUGAAUGUACAGAUCCCCCUGCUCCUGGGCCAGCUGGUAGAGGUCGUGGCCAAGUACACGAGGGACCACGUGGGGAGUUUCAUGACUGAGUCCCAGAAUCUCAGCACCCACCUGCUUAUCCUCUAUGGUGUCCAGGGACUGCUGACCUUCGGGUACCUGGUGCUGCUGUCCCACGUUGGCGAGCGCAUGGCUGUGGACAUGCGGAGGGCCCUCUUCAGCUCCCUGCUCCGACAAGACAUCGCCUUCUUUGACGCCAAUAAGACAGGGCAGCUGGUGAGCCGCUUGACAACUGACGUGCAGGAGUUUAAGUCAUCCUUCAAGCUUGUCAUCUCCCAGGGGCUGCGAAGCUGCACCCAGGUGGCAGGCUGCCUGGUGUCCCUGUCCAUGCUGUCUACACGCCUCACGCUGCUGCUGAUGGUGGCCACACCAGCCCUGAUGGGAGUGGGCACCCUGAUGGGCUCAGGCCUCCGAAAAUUGUCUCGCCAGUGUCAGGAGCAGAUCGCCAGGGCAAUGGGCGUAGCAGACGAGGCCCUGGGCAAUGUGCGGACUGUGCGUGCCUUCGCCAUGGAGCAACGGGAAGAGGAGCGCUAUGGGGCAGAGCUGGAAGCAUGCCGCUGCCGGGCAGAGGAGCUGGGCCGCGGCAUCGCCUUGUUCCAAGGGCUUUCCAACAUCGCCUUCAACUGCAUGGUCUUGGGUACCCUAUUUAUUGGGGGCUCCCUUGUGGCCGGACAGCAGCUGACAGGGGGAGACCUCAUGUCCUUCCUGGUGGCCUCCCAGACAGUGCAAAGGUCCAUGGCCAACCUCUCUGUCCUGUUUGGUCAGGUGGUCCGGGGGCUGAGUGCAGGCACCCGGGUCUUUGAGUACAUGGCCCUGAACCCCUGCAUCCCACUGUCUGGGGGCUGCUGCGUCCCCAAAGAGCAGCUGCGUGGCUCCGUUACAUUUCAGAACGUCUGCUUCAGCUACCCCUGCCGCCCCGGCUUCGAGGUGCUGAAAGACUUCACCCUGACGCUGCCCCCUGGCAAGAUCGUGGCCCUCGUGGGCCAGUCUGGCGGAGGAAAGACCACCGUGGCUUCCCUGCUGGAGCGCUUCUACGAUCCCACGGCAGGCGUGGUGAUGCUGGAUGGGCGGGACCUGCGCACCCUUGACCCCUCCUGGCUCCGGGGCCAGGUUGUCGGCUUCAUCAGCCAGGAGCCCGUCCUGUUUGGGACGACCAUCAUGGAAAACAUCCGCUUUGGGAAGCUGGAAGCUUCCGAUGAAGAGGUGUACACAGCCGCCCGGGAAGCGAAUGCUCACGAGUUCAUCACCAGCUUCCCUGAGGGCUACAACACGGUCGUCGGUGGGUGCUCGGGUCUGCCGGGAACCAGGUGGUGAACGGGGCACUACCCUGUCUGGGGGCCAGAAGCAGCGCCUGGCCAUCGCCCGAGCCCUUAUCAAGCAGCCCACGGUGCUGAUACUGGAUGAAGCUACCAGCGCGCUGGACGCAGAGUCCGAGCGGGUUGUACAGGAGGCCCUGGACCGGGCCAGUGCAGGCCGCACGGUGCUGGUAAUUGCCCACCGGCUCAGCACUGUCCGUGGGGCCCACUGCAUUGUCGUCAUGGCCGAUGGCCGUGUCUGGGAGGCUGGGACACAUGAAGAGCUCCUGAAGAAAGGCGGGCUAUACGCCGAGCUCAUCCGGAGGCAGGCCCUGGAUGCCCCGAGAACAGCGGCCCCACCGCCCAAAAAGCCAGAAGGCCCCAGGAGCCACCAGCACAAGUCCUGAGAAGGGCCCCCUGAGGUGUGGUCGCUGCCAAGCAUCAGUGUUAGGGCUGGGGCUCAGCCUGGGGGAGCCUACUGGGGACUGAGCCCCCAGGAGGGCCAGCAUGUGGAGAGUCGCUGCGGCUGCUCCUGUUCACAAUAAAGCCGAGGCCGAGCAGCUGGCAGGGGAGGCCAAUCCCUCCCUCCCCUCCCCAGUCCUGCCGGCUGCCUCCCUCCCA